GUCAGUUGUGAAAGUUUGCGGCUCAACCGUAAAAUUGCAGUUGAUACUGGAUAUCUUGAGUGCAGUUGAGGCAGGCGGAAUUCGUGGUGUAGCGGUGAAAUGCUUAGAUAUCACGAGGAACUCCGAUUGCGAAGGCAGCCUGCUAAGCUGCAACUGACAUUGAGGCUCGAAAGUGUGGGUAUCAAACAGGAUUAGAUACCCUGGUAGUCCACACGGUAAACGAUGAAUACUCGCUGUUUGCGAUAUACUGCAAGCGGCCAAGCGAAAGCGUUAAGUAUUCCACCUGGGGAGUACGCCGGCAACGGUGAAACUCAAAGGAAUUGACGGGGGCCCGCACAAGCGGAGGAACAUGUGGUUUAAUUCGAUGAUACGCGAGGAACCUUACCCGGGCUUAAAUUGCAGAUGAAUUACGGUGAAAGCCGUAAGCCGCAAGGCAUCUGUGAAGGUGCUGCAUGGUUGUCGUCAGCUCGUGCCGUGAGGUGUCGGCUUAAGUGCCAUAACGAGCGCAACCCUUGUUGUCAGUUACUAACAGGUUCCGCUGAGGACUCUGACAAGACUGCCAUCGUAAGAUGUGAGGAAGGUGGGGAUGACGUCAAAUCAGCACGGCCCUUACGUCCGGGGCUACACACGUGUUACAAUGGGGGGUACAGAGGGCCGCUACCACGCGAGUGGAUGCCAAUCCCCAAAACCUCUCUCAGUUCGGACUGGAGUCUGCAACCCGACUCCACGAAGCUGGAUUCGCUAGUAAUCGCGCAUCAGCCACGGCGCGGUGAAUACGUUCCCGGGCCUUGUACACACCGCCCGUCAAGCCAUGGGAGCCGGGGGUACCUGAAGUGCGUAACCGCGAGGAGCGCCCUAGGGUAAAACUGG
rnacentral:rRNA from 1 species